AAACUACUGGCCUUAAGCAGUCCUCCUGCCUCAGCCUCCCAAAGUGCUAGGAUUACAAGCGUGAGCACACUGUGCCUGGUCUCAACAAGUUCUUGAAGAAAGUAAUGCUUCAGAAAUGGUUAUUGAAGUUCUUGUAAGUAAAUGAGGACCAUCCUUUCUGUGGAUAGAGAGCUAACCAAAAUUCAGUCUCUGUAUACAGGAAGAAGGAAAUAAGAAGCAGUUGUCAAAACAAUACUGGCAAUAUGUAACUGAACCAAAUGGAAUGUUUUUGCUCCAGGAAUCAAUCCUGGGCCAGUACAUUCUAAGAAAACAAAUGGUUAAAGUGUUCAAUUUUGAUAUAGCGGAAAUUAUGAGCCCAAAUUGCAUAGAACCCAAGAGGUUCCUUCAGAGCAAGUUGGCUGUUUGAAGGCUAAAAGUAAUUAUUUUACUAUGCAUCAGAAAAUCAUGAGUUAACCUGUAGGCAAAAGUUAAGUGACAGUAACAUUUGGGGAUAAGGAAAACAAGUUUUUUUUUUUUUUAAAUCUUGACUAAUUUUUACCAUUCAAAUCAUCCUUAUAAGAAAAAUGUAAAGUAUUUCUUAUAAAUAUUUUAGUUUUUAACUCAUUCUUAUGCAUAGAACAUUUUUAAAGAAGCCAUCCUUUUGUCAACUAUUGACUAAUAAAGACAGGGUACAACUUAGUUAAGUUGAACAAGACAUUUGUAUUUUUAAAAUUUUACUUGCUCAUAUGUGAAUUAACAUGUGAAUUACCAAUUUUAUCUCUUCAGUACUCUGACCAUUCCUGUUCCCCUGACAAUCCAGUUACUGUGUACAUAGAGAAAAUAUUCAAAGUUUAAUAUUGACUUCAGUUCCACUUUGUUAGAUAAAUUUCCGUGGUGAAAUAAUCAUGUAAUCAGUGCUUUUGGGGGGAUCAUGGUAUAUCAGCAUAUAGCUUGCUGCCUUUUUUUUUUUAAUUAGAACUCACUUGCCUAAGUAAAUAAAUUACAUUCACAUUUUGAGUUGUUUCUCUUGCUAAUUGGGCAGUUAGGGGGUGAAAGAAGACUGUACAAAAAUAGAAGGGAAAAUCAUUUUUCAGCAUAUCAAAAUACUAAUACCAGUAACACAUUUUCUACAAAACUAAAUAAGAAGAACAAAAAAUAUAAUGCAUUCCAAAGCCCAAAAAAAGCCAGUGGCUUGAGAAUCACAUAGCUGGUGGUAUUAUCUGCAUUCCUUUUGAUACUAAGCAAUAACUAUAUUUACUUUACAUUUAUAAAUUAUUGCCAUUGGAUUUUAUUAUUUAAAAUUGUUACUUUUUUGUAGGGAAGCUUGCAUGUUAAUUACUCUUUUGCUGGUAGUGAUCAUUUUGGAGGUUAAUCUGAAUGUUAUUUUAUAUUUGGAAACUUGUACGUAAUAUGAAAAGAAUUGAAGUCAGAUUAAAGUAUAUGUGAAUAGGCAUUUUUUUCUAAAAUCAAUCAGAGGAAAUGAAAUGAGUAAUCAGAAAAGAUAUAAAAUUAAUUUUAGAAAGUAAUAUUUGUUCAAAGUGACUGAAGAUAGUACAGAUCAUGCGGUUUGUAAUAAGAAUGAAUUCAAAAGGGUUUUUUGAAUUGAAUUAUUUAUAAUUUGAAUUAGUCUUUUUUAUAUUUUUUAUUGUGCCUAUAUGUUAUGAAAUUUCUGCUUUGGCACAAAUAGACAUGUAUUGAGGCUGCCUUAUUGUGGUGCUUGAGAAAUAUGACUAAAGAGUGGACAUUCAAAAUCUUGCCCCUUUUCUCUGGUUGUCGUGUGAUUCAUCUGUAGAAACCCCCUGCAGCACUGAGUCACACAUCAUCAGAGUCAAGUGUACUCAGUGGUCUAAGAGGCCCUUCCAACUGGACAGGUUUUGUGUCUUGGGGUUUUUUGUUGGUUUUUCUUUUUUUAAAGUUUGCUAGGAACCUAACUGUUCCUUCAAGAAAUCAUAUUGGGUGCUUAGAGAUCCUAGUCCAAGUUGAAUGUCACCCCAGACCGGGAUGAUGAUAGACAUAUAACUAUCUAGUAUAUAUAUUAUGAAUAUACCUGCCUCAUUUAGCCAAAAAAAUGAACCUCAUACAUCCUUCACAGUGGAAACUUUAGCUUACUAAAUUGCAAUUAUGGCAUAGUGAGUUCUAAGCAGGUUAUACCAGUGUACAUUAACACAGGAGGAAGCAAUGUGGCAUAGUAGGAGCCCAGCAUUUGAGUCAUGGGACUAGAUUUGAGUCUUGCCCUUGCCCAUCUAUGGCAUGAGCAAGUUGUAAAUCUCUUGGAGUCUCAGGUUCGCUCAUCUGUUAAAUGCAAAUGUUAAAAAGUAAUGUCUCGCUCUUCCCCUCAAGCGGCCUGAGGUGAUUUGUGAAAAUGGUUCGCUAUUCACUUGACCCAGAAAACCCCACAAAAUCAUGCAAGUCAAGAGGUUUAAAUCUUCUUGUUCACUUCAAGAACACUCGUGAAACUGCCCAGGCCAUCAGUGGUAUGCAUAUACAAAAAGCCACCAAGUAUCUGAAAGAUGUCACUUUAAAGAAACAAUGUGUACCAUUCAGACGUUACAAUGGUGGAGUUGGUAGGUGUGCCCAGGCCAAACAGUGGGGCUGGACACAGGGGCGGUGGCCCAAAAAGACUGCUGAAUUUUUGCUGCAUAUGCUUAAAAAUGCAGAGAAUAAUGCUGAACUUAAGGGUUUGGAUGUACAUUCUCUGGUCAUUGAGCAUAUCCAGGUGAACAAAGCACCCAAGAUGCGUCGCGGAACUUAACAGAGCUCAUGGUCGGAUUAAUCCAUACAUGAGCUUCCCCUGCCACAUCGGGAUGAUCCUCACUGAAAAGGAACAGAUUGUUCCAAAACCAGAAGAGGAGGUUGCACAGAAGAAAAAGAUAUCCCAGAAGAAACUGAAGAAACAAAAACUUAUGGCACGGGAAUAGAUGCAACAUAAAAUAAAUGAAAAUAACAG